GAUGAACGCUAGCGAUAGGCUUAACACAUGCAAGUCGAGGGGCAGCAUGGUCUUAGCUUGCUAAGACUGAUGGCGACCGGCGCACGGGUGCGUAACGCGUAUGCAACUUGCCUCACAGAGGGGGAUAACCCGUCGAAAGACGGACUAAUACCGCGUACACUUGGGAUAGGGCAUCCUGACCCAAGGAAAUGAAAUUCGCUGUGAGAUAGGCAUGCGUCCCAUUAGCUAGUUGGUGAGGUAACGGCUCACCAAGGCGACGAUGGGUAGGGGAACUGAGAGGUUGAACCCCCACACUGGUACUGAGACACGGACCAGACUCCUACGGGAGGCAGCAGUGAGGAAUAUUGGUCAAUGGGCGAGAGCCUGAACCAGCCAAGUCGCGUGAAGGAUGACUGUCCUAUGGAUUGUAAACUUCUUUUAUACGGGAAUAACAAGAGUCACGUGUGGCUCCCUGCAUGUACCGUAUGAAUAAGCAUCGGCUAACUCCGUG
rnacentral:rRNA from 1 species